AGAGUUUGAUCAUGGCUCAGAACGAACGCUGGCGGCAUGCCUAAUACAUGCAAGUCGAACGCGUGUAGCAAUACACGCGUGGCGCACGGGUGAGUAACGCGUGGGAACCUGCCCUGGAGUGGGGGAUAACCCGGCGAAAGCCGGGCUAAUACCGCAUACGCCCUACGGGGGAAAGAUUUAUCGCUCCAGGAGGGGCCCGCGUCGGAUUAGCUAGUUGGUGGGGUAACGGCCUACCAAGGCGAUGAUCCGUAGCUGGUCUGAGAGGAUGAUCAGCCACACUGGGACUGAGACACGGCCCAGACUCCUACGGGAGGCAGCAGUAGGGAAUAUUGGACAAUGGGGGCAACCCUGAUCCAGCAAUGCCGCGUGAGUGAUGAAGGCCUUCGGGUUGUAAAGCUCUUUCGGCGGGGACGAUGAUGACGGUACCCGCAGAAGAAGCCCCGGCUAACUUCGUGCCAGCAGCCGCGGUAAUACGAAGGGGGCGAGCGUUGUUCGGAAUUACUGGGCGUAAAGGGCGCGCAGGCGGCUCUUGAAGUCAGGUGUGAAAGCCCCGGGCUCAACCUGGGAGGUGCACUUGAUACUCGAGGGCUGGAGUACGGGAGAGGAGAGUGGAAUUCCCAGUGUAGAGGUGAAAUUCGUAGAUAUUGGGAAGAACACCGGUGGCGAAGGCGGCUCUCUGGACCGUAACUGACGCUGAGGCGCGAAAGCGUGGGGAGCAAACAGGAUUAGAUACCCCAGUAGUCC
rnacentral:rRNA from 1 species